rnacentral:rRNA from 1 species
UACGUAGGGUGCAAGCGUUGUCCGGAAUUAUUGGGCGUAAAGAGCUCGUAGGCGGUUUGUCGCGUCUGCUGUGAAAUCCCAGGGCUUAACCCUGGGCCUGCAGUGGGUACGGGCAGACUGGAGUGUGGUAGGGGAGACUGGAAUUCCUGGUGUAGCGGUGGAAUGCGCAGAUAUCAGGAGGAACACCGAUGGCGAAGGCAGGUCUCUGGGCCACUACUGACGCUGAGAAGCGAAAGCAUGGGGAGCGAACAGG